GAAUACAAGGACAAAUUCCGUCACAAAUCCCUCUAUUAAUUUUCAAGUAUUUUAAAGCUGUUUUUUGAAUAUAAAAACCAAUGAAAAUGACCAAACCCCUGAAUAUAUGGCUGAGUUUCAAAAUUCAAAUCUCUCGCGUGUUCAUUUCCUUUCCUAGAUUCAUCGAUCGUCCUCUUGCGUGUUCAUCUUCCUCCAACAACACUGUUUCACCGCUAAACCAAAACUCUUCGAUUGAGUUUCAACCACCGCCACAAAACGAAGAAGCGCCACCGCCAACUCCGCUUCUUCUCUCUGAUAAAACGACGUUUUUGAAGAGAAAGCGUAUCUUGUUGGUGUUGAGCAAUAGAUUCAUCUUCCUCUCGCGCCUCAGUCCCGGCAACGCUGCCACUGCUUCAAAUUCUCCAAGAAUUCCUUGUUUUCCUAAAAGCUUAUAAGAGGGACUUAAGGAAUACUGAAAGACGAUAUUCUACGCAUUUGGUUGCUGUGAUGUACAAUGUGACUCUGAAGAAAUUUGUGUCCUGUAGAUUGUGGACAAUGAUAUUGGGUUGAGAUUGCAGUGCAACUACUGAAGUUGUUAGAAUAGAACAAAAAUAUCAUAUUAUAUUGACAUCAUCUUGAACUAUCUAAUAGUAAUAGUAUAAGCUUUUUUCUCUAAGAGUAUCUCUUAAGAUCAAUUUUUCUAUUAGUAAUCCAAUUUUUUGGUUGAAUUCCAAUAUUAUGCUUGUUUUAAGCAUUCUGUUUAUUAAAAUUUCAGGCUGGUAGCAGUGUGUAUACUUACGGUUUACUUGGCUUUACUUUAUGAAAUACAUGUUUCAGAUUGGCACUUCAUUGUCCAUAAUCCAGACAGCAUGUAUAACGGCACAACUUUCACCAGGUGCUUGGAAUUAAUCAUGAGUAUAAAAAGCCAGCUUGGAGGAGAUCUGAAGUGUGUUGCUAUUUUCUCCUAGAUACAUUUUUCUACUUAAAUAUUUAAACAAAUCACCUUUUUAUGGCUUGUGGCAAUUUCAAACACUUAUUGCCUUUUAUGUAGGGCCUUUCAAAAAACUGCUCCUGCAUGGUGUUAUGCUCCUUUUGAACCAGAAGGAAUUUUAAGGUGUAUAUGGUCUCCAAAUCUUCUUAGUAGCUUGUUUUUGGGUUAGCAGAAAUCCCAAACAUGGUAUUAUAGACUCUAUUUUCUAGAUUUCAAUAAACUCUUUAUUUACCUUGGCUUUGUUUUCUUCAAUGUAGAUGCUAUCAUUUUAUGUGAUCCAAUUAUUGAAUUUUUUUUUGCAUUUUUACCAAGAAAACGAGUUGAGGACUCGCAUAUUCAAUCUUCUUUUGUUUGAUUGCUUGGUUAGAGCAUGCCAUGAAAUUUUUGCAUACAAUUUUGAAAGGCUUCCUUUUAAGGACUAUAAUAUGAUUAUGAAUUACGACCGGUGUAUAACUUGCUGUUGUUCCUUAGAGUGAUAUCAUAUGCAACUGCAGCUUAAUAUCUGCUAUUCUAUCCACAAUCAUCGGAUUGCAUUACGGACAUGUACUCAUACACUUUCAGGAUUAUCUUUCUAGAUUGAAGCAAUGUUGUACACACUAAGCUAUGUUUGCGUAACAUCUGGUGCUGCGACAUUAGCUUUUUCAGCCUUCUAUGUAAUGGGUGACUUAAAUGAUACUCUUGGACAAGAAUUUGGUGAAGAGUUCAAUUUUUAUGUUUUAGUUAGGUUGUGGGAGCAUUCCUAGUAUAGUUGUUGUAAGAGUUCCAAGUUUUAUUUUCCCUAAAGUGUAUCUUUACUCUAAUUUUGAGUAAUUUGUUUUGAGAAUUUGGAUGUAACUACUAUUUUCAAGAAUGUAGUUACUCUAUUAAAUUUAUAUGGAUAAAUUUUAUGUAUUUUAUUGAAUAAUAUAUGAUACUUAUG